rnacentral:rRNA from 1 species
AUUGAACGCUGGCGGCAGGCCUAACACAUGCAAGUCGAACGGUAACAGGAAGAAGCUUGCUUCUUUGCUGACGAGUGGCGGACGGGUGAGUAAUGUCUGGGAAACUGCCUGAUGGAGGGGGAUAACUACUGGAAACGGUAGCUAAUACCGCAUAACGUCGCAAGACCAAAGAGGGGGACCUUCGGGCCUCUUGCCAUCUGAUGUGCCCAGAUGGGAUUAGCUUGUUGGUGGGGUAACGGCUCACCAAGGCGACGAUCCCUAGCUGGUCUGAGAGGAUGACAAGCCACACUGGAACUGGGACACGGUCCAGACUCCUACAGGAGGCAGCAGUGGGGAAUAUGGCACAAUGGGCGCAAGCCUGAUGCAGCCAUGCCGCGUGUAUGAAGAAGGCCUUCGGGUUGUAAAGUACUUUCAGCGGGGAGGAAGGGAGUAAAGUUAAUACCUUGGCUCAUUGACGUUACCCGCAGAAGAAGCACCGGCUAACUCCGUG